rnacentral:rRNA from 1 species
AUGGCAAAUUUAGUUUACUCAUCAUGGCAAAUUUGCUUCCUGGAAGAUGGCAAAUAUAGUUAUCAAAGCAUGGCAAAUUCAUUGCUUUCUUGCCAUGGCAAUUUUUUGAUUUUUAAAAUUGUCACCAUACUUCUUGAAAUUUUCAAAAACAACAUAAAAUGGAAAAUAUUGCGAUGGCAUGUUUUACUAAUUAUUUCACCUUUAUUAACAUGGCAAAUUUACCUAAAUUUUCAUGACAAUUUUUUAACAUUUAUUGCCAUGGCAAGUUUUAUUAUUUAUUUGCCAUGCCAAAUUUACCUUUUUAUUAAGAUGGUAAAUUUACCUAACUACCCACGACAAUAUUUAACUUUUAUUGCCAUGGAAAUUUUUACUAUUUAUUUGACUUUUUAUUAA